UACGUAGGGUGCGAGCGUUAAUCGGAAUUACUGGGCGUAAAGCGUGCGCAGGCGGUUUUGUAAGCCAGAUGUGAAAUCCCCGGGCUUAACCUGGGAAUGGCAUUUGGGACUGCAAGGCUUGAGUGCGGCAGAGGAGACUGGAAUUCCCGGUGUAGCAGUGAAAUGCGUAGAUAUCGGGAGGAAUACCGAUGGCGAAGGCAGCCCCCUGGGCCAACACUGACGCUCAGGCACGAAAGCGUGGGGAGCAAACAGG
rnacentral:rRNA from 1 species